rnacentral:misc_RNA from 1 species
GUGAAUCAUCGAAUCUUUGAACGCACCUUGCGCUCCCGGCAGAUCUAAUCUGGGGAGCAUGCCCGUCUGAGGGCCGCGAAUUGUUUCGAACGACAGCUUUUUUCUUUGGAGAAUCGCUGGCGGAUCGGUAUUGAGGGUCUUGCCAUUUACAGUGGCUCCCUCGAAAUGCAUUAGCAUGACAAUAUACUUCGAAUCGAGUGGUGACAGGGAUUGAUUUCCCUCUCCCGACCGGGUUUUGAUAACAUCAAGGCUUCGGUGGUGAGAGGCAGUCCUCUGACACGACUUGGCAAUGAAGGUCAU